CUACCUACGGGGGGCAGCAGUAGGGAAUCUUCCACAAUGGACGAAAGUCUGAUGGAGCAACGCCGCGUGGGUGAAGAAGGGUUUCGGCUCGUAAAGCUCUGUUGGUAGUGAAGAAAGAUAGAGGUAGUAACUGGCCUUUAUUUGACGGUAAUUACUUAGAAAGUCACGGCUAACUACGUGCCAGCAGCCGCGGUAAUACGUAGGUGGCAAGCGUUGUCCGGAUUUAUUGGGCGUAAGGCGAGUGCAGGCGGU
rnacentral:rRNA from 1 species